rnacentral:rRNA from 1 species
UACGUAGGGUGCGAGCGUUGUCCGGAAUUACUGGGCGUAAAGAGCUCGUAGGUGGUUUGUCGCGUUGUUCGUGAAAACUCGAUAGCCUCAACUGUGGGCCGUGCGGGCGAUACGGGCAGACUGGAGUACUGCAGGGGAGACUGGAAUUCCGUGGUGUAGCGGUGGAAUGCGCAGAUAUCGAGGAGGAACACCGGUGGCGAAGGCGGGUCUCUGGGCAGUAACUGACGCUGAGACGCGAAAGCGUGGGAGCAAACAGG